rnacentral:rRNA from 1 species
CACGUAGGGUCCAAGCGUUGUCCGGAUUUAUUGGGCGUAAAGAGCUCGUAGGCGGCUUGGUAAGUCGAGUGUGAAAACUCUGGGCUCAACUCAGAGACGCCACUCGAUACUGCCAUGGCUUGAGUCCGGUAGGGGAGUGUGGAAUUCCCGGUGUAGCGGUGAAAUGCGCAGAUAUCGGGAGGAACACCAGUAGCGAAGGCGGCACUCUGGGCCGGAACUGACGCUGAGGAGCGAAAGCGUGGGGAGCGAACAGG